rnacentral:lncRNA from 1 species
UUUUUUGGGCGCGGCUGUGCCCGUGGCCUAUUUUUGGCACACGGAGGCCGCCCGCCAAGUCUGGUGCCAUUCCGAGUCCCGCGGACGAACUUCGCCCACCCCCCCCACCAAGGCUAUAGCCCACCCGUUUUUUGGCCAUUUUUCCGCUGGGGGGUCUUGGGACCCCGAACUUCGGGGGCUGUUUUUUGGGCGCGGCUGUGCCCGUGGCCUAUUUUUGGCACACGGAGGCCGCCCGCCAAGUCUGGUGCCAUUCCGAGUCCCACGGACGAACUUCGCCCACGCCCCCCACCAAGGCUAUAGCCCACCCGUUUUUUGGCCAUUUUUCCGCUGGGGGGUCUUGGGACCCCGAACUUCGGGGGCUGUUUUUUGGGCGCGGCUGUGCCCGUGGCCUAUUUUUGGCACACGGAGGCCGCCCGCCAAGUCUGGUGCCAUUCCGAGUCCCGCGGACGAACUUCGCCCACGCCCCCCACCAAGGCUAUAGCCCACCCGUUUUUUGGCCAUUUUUCCGCUGGGGCGUCUUGGGACCCCGAACUUCGGGGGCUGUUUUUUGGGCGCGGCUGUGCCCGUGACCUAUUUUUGGUGGUUCUGAACUCUAUUGAGGCGCUCAGGGCUCAAGUGGAGGAGCUUCACACGGGCCUUGAAGAGACUAAGAUGGAUUGGGCGCUUUGCAAGAAGGCGGUGGCCAGCGGGGUGCUCAACACCAAUGCCGCACUUCCAAUGAGGGUCGAGGUUCCGAGACCAAGGAGGUACGGGGGCAAGCGGGAUGCCCAGGAGAUCGAGAACUUCUUGUGGUCCAUGGAGAGGUACUUCGAGGCCACCAACAUCCAAGGUGAGCAAGAGAAGGUGAACAUUGCGACCGGGUACCUUGAGGAUCACGCGACCGCUUGGUGGCAGCGGAAGCAUGCAGAGAUUGUGCGCGGGACGUGCAUCAUCAACACAUGGGACUUGCUGAAGUGCGAGCUCAAGAGGCAAUUCUUUCCAGGGAAUGUGGCAUAUGAGGCUCGCAAGAAGAUGCGGGAGCUGAAGCACACGGGGCCUAUCUCAAAGUAUGUCGAUGAAUUCUCGAAGCUCAUUCUUCAAAUCGACAACAUGAACACAGAUGAUUUGCUGUUCAACUUCAUGGAGGGACUCCAGCCGUGGGCACAACGGGAGUUGCAGCGGCGCCAAGUGAAUGACAUCUCUACAGCCCUCACCGAGGCUGACACGCUUGUGGAAUUCCGGAAGGGUGAGUCUUCCAAGCCAAAGAAGGAUGAUAAGCCGCAACAUGGCAAAGGUGGGGGAGCGAAGGGAGAUAAGCCGCACCAUGAUGGCAAGGAUAAGCCACAAAAGAAGGAGGGCCCGAAGGAUGGUUGAAAGGAUGGCAAGAAGGAGGCUAAGCGGAAACACAAUUGCUUCCUUUGCGAUGGGGACCAUUGGGUGCGGGACUGCCCAAAGAAGAAGGCUUUCAACGCCAUGUUUAGCGAGACCGGGGAGAAGCAACCGGAGACACCACCAGCGGAUGCCGCCAACAUGGGUUGUCUCCAACUUUUCAAUGCACUAAAUGCCAAGCCAAUUCCAGCCAAGGUGCAGGACAAGUCACUCAUGCACGUUGAGGCUAUGAUCAAUGGAAAGCGAGCCCAAGCCUUGAUUGACACGGGAGCGUCCCACAACUUCAUCAAGGUAGAUGAAGCCAAGCGGCUUGGACUCAAGGUUGAGAAAUCAGAUGGCUGGCUCAAGACGGUGAAUUCGGAGGCCAUUUUGGCUGACCGUGUGGUUCGGAAGAAGAGUUUUCCACCAUGCCAAGAGUACUUUGUCAAAUGGAAGGGACUACCCGAGAGCGAAACAAGUUGGGAGCCCGCAUAUGAUUUGUGGCAGUUCCAAGACAAGAUCAAAGCCUUCCACAGCGAGUCGACGAGGACGUCUCCGGAAUAGGUGGGGGAGAAUGUCAUGGCCCAAGCUUCCACAUGGCCUGGCCCAUGGAGAAUUCUAGAGCCAUGGAGACUAGUGUAGAGCAUGUAGAUAUUUCCAUUGUAAUUAAUGUGUUUAUGUAACUCUAGAGACUCUCUAGAUACUUCUUUGUACCCUAUAAAUCGGAUAAGGCCUCAUUUGGCCAAAUCAAUCAAAAAGCAAUAUACAAUUCCAGCACACAUAGCUUUGUAAGCAUUCUAUCGAGCAAUAUAAGUUCUUUCCUCCCAUACUUUGUGAGUUAGAGUGAUUCCUUUUUCCGCUUCUCGAAUCCAGCAACAGAUUUGGGUGUAAGGCUGACUUAGGGCCAAUAGAGUGCGAAUUUGGCGCCUAAGGCCGCACGGCAUAGCGUGGGAACAAUCCGGGCCGUGACAGUUGGUAUCAGAGCCGUCUACACUCGUGGGUAGUUGCGUUGUUCGAAAGGAAGGAUGUCAGAGAGCACUCAUGAUGACCAAAGGGGAAGGGAGCCUAACCCCAAUGCGAAGAAGGGGAAAAACAGCAAGGAGAAGUCAGUGGGCUUGCUCAACGCCAUGGAGAAUCGGAUUGUCCGUGGGGAGAUUGCUGUCGCCGAGAUUAAAGAACGCCUCGAGAUCUUUGAGCAAAAGAUGGAGGAGGUGGAUGAUCUUGGUGAGCGGAUGGGCGAUCUAAGCCAAGAUGUGGUGGCGCAACGCCAAAGCCUUGAGGAGUUCCAAGCGGUGGUUCUGAACUCUAUUGAGGCGCUCAGGGCUCAAGUGGAGGAGCUUCACACGGGCCUUGAAGAGACUAAGAUGGAUUGGGCACUUUGCAAGAAGGCGGUGGCCAGCGGGGUGCUCAACACCAAUGCCGCACUUCCAAUGAGGGUCGAGGUUCCGAGACCAAGGAGGUACGGGGGCAAGCGGGAUGCCCAGGAGAUCGAGAACUUCUUGUGGUCCAUGGAGAGGUACUUCGAGGCCACCAACAUCCAAGGUGAGCAAGAGAAGGUGAACAUUGCGACCGGGUACCUUGAGGAUCACGCGACCGCUUGGUGGCAGCGGAAGCAUGCAGAGAUUGUGCGCGGGACGUGCAUCAUCAACACAUGGGACUUGCUGAAGUGCGAGCUCAAGAGGCAAUUCUUUCCAGGGAAUGUGGCAUAUGAGGCUCGCAAGAAGAUGCGGGAGCUGAAGCACACGGGGCCUAUCUCAAAGUAUGUCGAUGAAUUCUCGAAGCUCAUGCUUCAAAUCGACAACAUGAACACAGAUGAUUUGCUGUUCAACUUCAUGGAGGGACUCCAGCCGUGGGCACAACGGGAGUUGCAGCGGCGCCAAGUGAAUGACAUCUCUACAGCCCUCACCGAGGCUGACACGCUUGUGGAAUUCCGGAAGGGUGAAUCUUCCAAGCCAAAGAAGGAUGAUAAGCCGCAACAUGGCAAAGGUGGGGGAGCGAAGGGAGAUAAGCCGCACCAUGAUGGCAAGGAUAAGCCACAAAAGAAGGAGGGCCCGAAGGAUGGUUCAAAGGAUGGCAAGAAGGAGGCUAAGCGGAAACACAAUUGCUUCCUUUGCGAUGGGGACCAUUGGGUGCGGGACUGCCCAAAGAAGAAGGCUUUCAACGCCAUGUUUAGCGAGACCGGGGAGAAGCAACCGGAGACACCACCAGCGGAUGCCGCCAACAUGGGUUGUCUCCAACUUUUCAAUGCACUAAAUGCCAAGCCAAUUCCAGCCAAGGUGCAGGACAAGUCACUCAUGCACGUUGAGGCUAUGAUCAAUGGAAAGCGAGCCCAAGCCUUGAUUGACACGGGAGCGUCCCACAACUUCAUCAAGGUAGAUGAAGCCAAGCGGCUUGGACUCAAGGUUGAGAAAUCAGAUGGCUGGCUCAAGACGGUGAAUUCGGAGGCCAUUUUGGCUGACCGUGUGGUUCGGAAGAAGAGUUUUCCACCAUGCCAAGAGUACUUUGUCAAAUGGAAGGGACUACCCGAGAGCGAAACAAGUUGGGAGCCCGCAUAUGAUUUGUGGCAGUUCCAAGACAAGAUCAAAGCCUUCCACAGCGAGUCGACGAGGACGUCUCCGGAAUAGGUGGGGGAGAAUGUCAUGGCCCAAGCUUCCACAUGGCCUGGCCCAUGGAGAAUUCUAGAGCCAUGGAGACUAGUGUAGAGCAUGUAGAUAUUUCCAUUGUAAUUAAUGUGUUUAUGUAACUCUAGAGACUCUCUAGAUACUUCUUUGUACCCUAUUAAUCGGAGAAGGCCUCAUUUGGCCAAAUCAAUCAAAAAGCAAUAUACAAUUCCAGCACACAUAGCUUUGUAAGCAUUCUAUCGAGCAAUAUAAGUUCUUUCCUCCCAUACUUUGUGAGUUAGAGUGAUUCCUUUUUCCGCUUCUCGAAUCCAGCAACAGAUUUGGGUGUAAGGCUGACUUAGGGCCAAUAGAGUGCAAAUUUGGCGCCUAAGGCCGCACGGCAUAGCGUGGGAACAAUCCGGGCCGUGACAUAUAGCCCACCGUUUUUUGGCCAUUUUUCCGCUGGGGGGUCUUGGGACCCCGAACUUCGGGGGCUGUUUUUUGGGCGCGGCUGUGCCCGUGGCCUAUUUUUGGCACAAGGAGGCCGCCCGCCAAGUCUGGUGCCAUUCCGAGUCCCGCGGACGAACUUCGCCCACGCCCCCCACCAAGGCUAUAGCCCACCCGUUUUUUGGCCAUUUUUCCGCUGGGGGGUCUUGGGACCCCGAACUUCGGGGGCUGUUUUUUGGGCGCGGCUGUGCCCGUGGCCUAUUUUUGGCACACGGAGGCCGCCCGCCAAGUCUGGUGCCAUUCCGAGUCCCGCGGACGAACUUCGCCCACGCCUCCCACCAAGGCUAUAGCCCACCCGUUUUUUGGCCAUUUUUCCGCUGGGGGGUCUUGGGACCCCGAACUUCGGGGGCUG